rnacentral:lncRNA from 1 species
CACUUGUAGAGCACCGCCUCAACAAAACUCAUUUUCAAGAUUUUUUUUUACUGUACAAUUCAAAAAAUUUCGCUCGCUCGCCCUAUAUUUUUUUAGCGUUUGUCCAAAGAACUAUAAAUCAAAUUGGUGUGGCCUUGUCUAAACAAUUUCUAUUCAAAACUUUUCUCAGAAUUGGUAACUGUUCUAAAAAAAGACAAAUAUUGUGCCAUAUUUGAUUUUAAUACUGUUCUCUUUGUAUCUUAUUUAGGAUAUUAAUGUAAAAUAAAAUAAUAUUUGAUGAGAGCAUUCUGCUUUUACAUGAUUAGCUGUUGAUGCAUGAAAUAGAAAGAAUUUGAAUAUAAGUUAAUUUUUCUCCUUUUUGUAUAACGUUUCCCUACAUGGACAAUGCCAUGGAAGAAAAUCCUUCCUUCUCAGCAAUAUUUUCAAAAAUUUCAUAAAUCAUUGAAAAGAACUAUCUCUUGCAAAGUUACAUGUAAUGUCAUGAUAAAAGGCAAACAACAAUGCAUUUCAAUUGCAAGGAUGGUGAAUUCCAUAUAACUAUAAAUUCUUAAUACUGAAGCGAGAUUCCAGAAAGCAUGAAAAUUAUCAGUAAGCUCUCUCCCAUUAAAAUUUGGUCAAUUACAUUAAGGGAAUACAAAAGAAUUUGAACCAUGUCCAACAGGUAAUGACUUCAAUGAUAUAGGACAGUUGUUAAUGUGAAAUAUACAAGAAGAAACUUCUUCAAAAUAAAUUAUUGUCAAG